UCCAUGCUUUCAGUCAUUGAUUCAGUCUUUUUUUUCUUCCCUAUUCUGUUACAUUUUAUUUUUCUCUUUUUUGUACUUGAACCAUCAUUUCUAGAGUGCAAUGGAGGAGGCAGACUGGCUGCUGGCUCACCAUUGAAAAAGAAAACACAAGCCACUUGGAAAUGAAGACCUGCACUGAUUGGUGCCAGUCAUCUUCUUGACCUGGGAGGAAAUGGUCCCAGAGACAAUUUCAAACUUUUGUAUUCUGGGGUGCUGGCAAUCAUGCUGUUCAAAGCAGCUGCACAUCAUAUUUUCAAGUUGUCGGAGCUGUGCUCCUAAUUAAAAAUCUGCUCUAUUAUGUAGAUGUCCCUAUCAUACCCUAGAUGCUUUCCCCACAGAAAUAAAGAUUCAGGACCAGGUUCUCCUCCCUUCUGCAAGCCCUAGUCUUGCUCUUCUACCAGCAACCAACUGUAAAUGCACUGAAUCUCCCCUGGGGAGGAUUCCUGUGGUGUGCAGCACCUAUUGCAACUAUAAUGCAGUGUCUAUGUCAGCUGUCUCCUAUUCCAAUCUGCAAAAGACAGCAUGAAGCCAAGCAGCGCUGGGAGAGUUGUGGCUUCCCUACUGAAGUGCCACCACUUUACCUGGCAGUAAGCCGUGGCCAGGCCAACAGACUGCACACGUGGUGGGGAAGAGACCUUUUGGGCCAAGGGAUUUGAUUGCAAAGUCCCAUCCAUGGGGUCUUUCAUGUCCCCACACAGCAGUUUCAGCUAAUUAGACUCUAUUGCAACAUUGAGGGGUUGCCAAAGGCUAAAUGGGGAAGAGACACCUCUGGAAUUUGUUGAAGAGGAGUAAAAUCUGCCCACAUCAGGGCUGCACACUGUUUGGGGUUUGAGCCCUUCUCUCCAUUUCUCAUUUGUGUCCUUCCCAUAUGGUCUCUUUCUUUUCUCUGCCCCAGAGUUUUCUGCCUCACUUCCAGAGGAAGGAUCUCCCUUUGUACUUUCACAUGUUAGGGACACUGGAGUGGAAAACCUCUCAGGCUGGCAGCACGGUUGCUGCUGAGCAGACAGGGCAUUUCCAUCCCUUUCAUCAGAAAUCCCCACACAUGCCCGCAGGGCUGAGUUAAUCCACCUGACAGGGAGGAAAGGUCUAGUGAGGAUUUGGAGUCUCAGUUGCAGGGAAUACAAAUCGUUCAAAUGUGCAUCUAUGCCACUAAGCUAUCACCUCCGGCUAUUCAUAGCAUGUAGAAGGGACUGUUAGACACAUACUUUGUCUGCCAGAGAAGCAGUCUGUGGUUUUUAGGAUUCAGCUCUUUAUUUCCUUUUAGCUCAUGUCCUUAACUGCCACUGUGCUGGGCCCAAGAUCACUGCUGAGGAUUAUACCCCAACCACGCACUCCUGCUCAGCACCCACCCCAGGCAAGCAACGCUCCCCACUGUCCAUCUUGCAGAAUAAUAGCUAUGAUAUAUCUGGAUUGUAGCAAGACCCCUGAUACCUACAGCCCUUGAGUACCUCAUGUCUCAUUGUCGUCUUCUACCCUCUUGUCUGUCUGUCUGUAUCCGUCUGUAGUAUUUUAUCUUACUGAACUCUUUGAGGUAUGGACCAUUUUUCCCUUCUGUGUUUGUACAGCAUGUAGAAAAAUGGAGUUCUAGUCCAGGAGAGGAGCUACACAGCUUCACCAUAAUACAAACAGCUAAAAAUAUUAACAGCAAUUCAAUUUUUCCUAACCCUUCUCUGGAUGAACUUUGCCUUGAAUAAACAGCAACAUCUGGAAUUCAGCAAAAUACGCUGUGAAGGGAAUAAUAUGUCGAAAGCAGUUUUGUUGAAAAGGACAAACCCAUUUAUUACUUGAACCAAACAUUACAAUUGCUAAAUGUCAGAUUAAAUAAAAAAUAUCGAAUUCA